UUUACUGUUCCCAUUUUCUUUAAGGAUGACAUAUCUCUAAUUUAUUGAAGCGUAAGAAUGAUUCAGUAGCUUUGUUUGGUUAUGUUUCUCUACCAGCAUGGUACAAUUUUUUAAUAGUUAUAUCAAUACCAUGGAAUUAUGUAUGAUAUACACAAAUAUAAAAUGCAUACUAUUGAAUAAUCAUGAAGUUAAACAACAAAAUGAAACGUUUUACCAAUUUGAAACUUUUUGCAUCUCCUCUACAUGUUUACCCAAUUUUAUUGGUUGUUCUCUAUUGAUUCACUGCAACACAAUUGAUAUUAUCUUGCCAGGGUAUUCAUAACAAAGUACCAUACACUGGAUGGAUUAAACACCCAAAAUUUAUUGCUGUAUAAAUUUGAAAAACGUAAGUUCAACAUCAAUAUAUUGGGACGACUGGUUUUCUUCUUAGUCUCUUCUUAUCAUACAGCUAGCUAACUUUUAGCUAUGCCUUUAUAUGGUCUUUUCCUAUGUGUGCAUGCACACUGUCUAUUUACUGUUGAGAGCCACAGCCGAAGGGGCCCCAGCAAACUUUCAGACUGCCAGCUGAUGAUUGGCUCACAGCCCCCAGCAACAUCUAGCUGAUUGGCUCCUCUGCGGUGAUGCUCAUUGGGCUGUUUCCCUGCCCUUUCAGACCACGGAGCUGCUCAUUGGGGGACUUUUUGGCUCCGCCCAUGCGACCCAGCCAAUCGGCCUCAAGAGCAGGAGGAUUGUGGGAGGUGGAGUGGCUUGAGGUGGUGGGAGAGGCUUGUGGGAAGCCAGUGGUGGCAGUUGGGCUCUGAGGGUUUUUCCUGAGGAGCUGUUUUGUUUGGUGUGUGGUUCUAAAAAUAAAGUUCAUUUCUUUUGACAAGUGGCUCCUGAAUCGUGCGCAGCCAGACUGCUGCAAUUUACUAAUCUCUUCUUGUAAGAAUAUUGAUCAUUUGAUUAGAGCCUACCCAUAUGACCCCAUUUUUCCUAAAUUGUCCUUUUAAAAGUCUCAGGUACAAAAAUAGUUAUAUUCCGAGAUUUUGGAGUUUAGACAUGAAUUUUAAAGGGAGAUUAUUUAGCCAUAUCACUACAAUUACAGCUUUUACUCAGCUAAAAUAGAAUAAAAUAGAAUCAACUAUUUGCCCUCAUGAUUGAACUCUGUAAUGUGGUCUUGUAUUUAUUUUGAUAAAGUGGUAUAUGUUCAAAACAUUGUGCUUAUAAUAGGGAUUCAAUAAUCUGCAACACAGAGACUUUCUUCUUUAAAAAGUUCCUUACACACUAACCUCUUUUUCCAUUAGAUCACCAAUCAUUUUCACUCAAAUUUAAGACAGAAACUGAUUGUUCAGUACAACUUCUGACAACUUGAGAAUCCUCUUGUUACCCAUGCCAUGGAUAACAAACAAUAUGUGACCAAUAUCUCUUGGAUUGUUCAUUCUGUGGAAAGCAAAUUGCCAAAAAAUUGCCAUGUGCUGAAGAUGCUCAAGCUUCAUAAAGAAAUGCAGAGGGAAAAUGAAUCCUGACCUCCUCCAACACCAUGUUCCAGGCAUGCAAAACAAACCUUAUUUGUAGUGGAUCCUUCAGCCUCAGUCUAGUACUCAGAUUACUGUAGCACAUCUGACAUCCUGACCACAAUCUGUUUCAGUGACCCUGAACUAGGAAGAGCCAUAUAAGACCUCUGAUUUUUCUGACACAAGAAGCUGUAAUAUCAUGUUUAGUGUGGAUUUUAUGCAUAUUUGUAUACUUUAUAUGCAUACUGACCUUGUUUAUGUCUGAACCAAUUUUGUGUAAUUGAAGUCUUGAUAAGAAGAGUUUUGUCACAUGUAAUCAUUUAUAUACCAUAAAAAUUUAC
rnacentral:lncRNA from 1 species